ACAGGCUGCAUGAGGAAGAAGGAGAAAAAAAAAUUAAAAGUUAUGGGCUUAUUGGGUUUAUUUUUAUGUUUUAAAUUAAUUUAUAUGGGCUUGGUCCACAAGAAGGGAAAAAAAGAAAAUAAGGAAAGGGAGAGGCCCAUUUGACUGGGCCAACCUAGCCCAGACCCAACCCGGUCCAAGACUCGACUAGGUGUUGACCUAGUCAAUGGUUGACCAGUCAACAGUGAACGGUUGACAGUCAAUGGUGAACGAUUAACCGAUCAUCAGUCAACGAUUAAUUUUGACUGGUCAACAGUGAAGCUUUUGACCCAAAAAAAAAAGAAUUUCUUUUAAAGAUAUUUUUUCUCAUUUUAU
rnacentral:lncRNA from 1 species